GGGGUUGUGGCUCAGAGGAAAAGUGCUCGCCUAGCAUGCGUGAGGCUUUGGGUUCGAUCCUCAGCACCACA
rnacentral:tRNA from 1 species